UUGUUUCAAAUUUUGAUGAUUUAAAUAUUUAAUACUAGAAUAAAAUUUUGGAUAUUAGAUACAAUUUCAUAGGUCAUCAAAUCAAAACUAUGCAUAUAGAGAUUAUCAUUUCAUCGAAAUCUUCUUCAAUACACCUUUUCUUCUACCUGUAAAUGACCAUCGAACAGUACAUGUUAUUUACUUAUUUCACAACAGAAUCAUUCUAAACAUUCAAAGAAAUGGUUUUCUGAGCAUCCAGAGAGGCCUCUUUCUCAACCUCAGGCGAGGCAUUCUUCUGAACCUCAGUAUCGAUAUUCUUAUCAACCUUGGGUGUGCUACUCUUCUCAAUCUCGGGUGUCUCAUACUCUCAUUCAUCUGAACCUCUUGGGAUGCAAUCUCAUUAACUUCCAAUCUUCUGAACCUCCAAAGAGGCAACAUUUUCAACCUCCGGAGAGGUAAUCUUUCAAACCUCCAGAAAGGCAAUUCUCUCAACCUCAGGAGAGGGCAACAUUUUCAUCCUCCAGAGGCAACCUUCUCAAGCUCCCCAACUGCAACCAAACCGGACUCCAGUAUCUUGUACGCACGUAAUGUAAAUGAAUUUAAAGAUAACAUUAUAGUAUUAUACGAAAACAAAAUAUCUAUUAAGUGAAAAUGAAUUUACCAUUUCAUGACGAACCUCGAUGACCUACUUCUUUUUCUUCAAUUUCUGUUCUACAUUAGAAGAUCGUUGAAUACUUUUCUUCUCCGAUUUCAUCUUCUUCUUCUUCUCGCUAUUUUCCAGAGAACAUCCUCAAUUCCCUUGUUCUUGAACUCAUAUUGACUAACUUCCCGCGACAAUGCAAACUUCAAAAUAAUUUGAGACUUUUUUAAUCAAAAUGUUAAAAAAUAAUGCUUCUCAAAUAUGUCAACUUCAUCUUACCCUUUCUCGACCUCGUUCUUUUCCUUCAAUUCAUCUUGUGGAACAAAAGAGCGUCGAACAACCUUCUUCUUCUUCUUCUUCUUCUCAAUCGUAACAAAUGGUUCUUCAAUCAACACACUUUCCGUCUGAACCACAUCAGUUUAUUCUUUAUUAACCACAUCAACUACUUCUCUUUGAACCUCACCACCAACAACUUUCUAAACCUGGACCUCUGUGUCUUUCUGAACCUCAACAACUUGUUUACUACCAACUUCAUCUACCCUCACCAUGUGUUCUCGCAAAUCAGUCCUAUCGGACGGUCUACCCUCACCAUGUGUACUCUAUUUUUAUAAUAUUCAUUUAUUUUAUUAAAAUUAUAUUAAUUUAUAGAAAAGUCAUACCUCUAACUCUAUGAUUAAAUUUAUAGAAAAAUCCACCGACCUACUCACCCCCAUGUGCGUCUGCCGCAAUUAAGCGCCUA
rnacentral:lncRNA from 1 species